rnacentral:rRNA from 1 species
UACAGAGGGUGCAAGCGUUUGUUCGGAAUUAUUGGGCGUAAAGCGCGUGUAGGCGGCUUUGCAAGUCGGGGUGUGAAAGCCCUCAGCUCAACUGAGGAAGUGCGCCCGAAACUGCAGAGCUUGAGUGCCGGAGAGGGUGGCGGAAUUCCCCAAGUAGAGGUGAAAUUCGUAGAUAUGGGGGAGGAACACCGGUGGCGAAGGCAGCCCC